rnacentral:rRNA from 1 species
GACGAACCGAGCGAACGUUGUUCGGAAUCACUGGGCUUAAAGGGCGCGUAGGCGGGUAUUCAAGUCUGUGGUGAAAUCCGGCAGCUUAACUGUCGAAUUGCCGCGGAUACUGGGUAUCUCGAGGGAGGUAGGGGCGUGCGGAACUAAUGGUGGAGCGGUGAAAUGCGUUGAUAUCAUUAGGAACUCCGGUGGCGAAGGCGGCACGCUGGACCUCUUCUGACGCUGAGGCGCGAAAGCCAGGGGAGCAAACGGG